CCUACGGGGGGCAGCAGUGGGGAAUAUUGCACAAUGGGCGCAAGCCUGAUGCAGCCAUGCCGCGUGUGUGAAGAAGGCCUUCGGGUUGUAAAGCACUUUCAGCGGGGAGGAAGGCGGUGAGGUUAAUAACCUCAUCGAUUGACGUUACCCGCAGAAGAAGCACCGGCUAACUCCGUGCCAGCAGCCGCGGUAAUACGGAGGGUGCUAGCGUUAAUCGGAAUUACUGGGCGUAAAGCGCACGCAGGCGGUCUGUCAAGUCGGAUGUGAAAUCCCCGGGCUCAACCUGGGAACUGCAUUCGAAACUGGCAGGCUAGAGUCUUGUAGAGGGGGGUAGAAUUCCAGGUGUAGCGGUGAAAUGCGUAGAGAUCUGGAGGAAUACCGGUGGCGAAGGCGGCCCCCUGGACAAAGACUGACGCUCAGGUGCGAAAGCGUGGGGAGCAAACAGGAUUAGAUACCCUGGUAGUC
rnacentral:rRNA from 1 species